UCACGUGAUUAACAUGUGAUCACGCGAAUGUAAUAUGGCUGAUGCGCUACAAGGGCUGUCGUACACAAAUUUCCGUAAUAGUAAGACAUAAAUUUAAGCCAAUAGGCCAAUCAAGAUAUUGCUUUAGGUCUAAGUAAUCUAAUGGAAGAAGGUAGAAAUAACGAUAAACUUAUCCAUAAGACAAAUUUCAAUCAGUUGAAAUUUCUACGUAACCAUGUAUAGAUAAUUUGUGUAUUAAUAUUGGAUUCGAGCAAAUAAUGGGUGGCACAUCUAUAAUCCAUCUAACCAAUGUUAUAUGUAAAGUCAAUAAAGAAACUAGUAGAAAUCAGUGAAUUUGACAAAAUAAAGAUUUAUAUAAAAAUAAAUAAGUCAUAUAAAGAUAAAAUGUUAUUUAAAAGUGACGGGUAAAAUAAGUAUAUUAUUUUGUAGGAAGAUAUUUAGGAUUUCAUUGAUUCAAUCUUAUGUUGUAUUCUAUCUACAAAUAAAAAAAUGAAAGAAUCAUACAUAUAGAGAUAAAUUCUCUUCAAGACAAAAUUGUAUCGGAGACAAUGAAUGUGAAUAAUGAAAAUUCUGUAGGAGAUUCUUUAUUAAUAGAUUUAGUUAGAGGAUAUUCCCAUUUAUAUAAUAAAUCAUCGCCAAAUUUUAAAGAUUCUUUAAUGAAAGAAAAUUCAUGGGAAGAAAUAACUAAAAUCAUGACUUGAUCACCUACUGAAUGUCAAAAAUCGAUGGAUCAGAUUAAGGGAAAGAUUUUCUAAAGAAAGAAGAGAAAUUAAAAAGUGGAAGUGGAAUAGCUAAUCGACAAAGUUUUAUAUGAAAGUAUGAAAUUUUUGGAUAGUUAUGUGCAGCGAAGAAGAUAAACUAAAGAUACUAAAAAAUUUGUCGUACGACAAAUAACUGUUACAAGUAUUUUGCAAAAUAAAAAAAUAAAGAAAAUAUUUCUAAGAUCUCACCAAUUUCAACCAACAUAACAGUUGAUAAUCCUAUUACUUCUAAAAAUCAUCAAACUUUUCCUCUAAUUACACAACAUUCGUAUAUAGAGCUUAGCUAAGAUAAAAAUAGCUAAGAUAAAAUCAUCUGGAAAUUUUGAAAUGCUUAAUGAAAUAGAAACAAAUGACGAAAUACAAUCGCAAUGUGAACCAUUUGUAUUUGAAACAUCAGGAGAAAGAUCCGAAAGAUGUCCUUCUGAAUCUUCACGAGAGUUUUCGACUCCUACUUCACCUAAACAUCAUGAUAGAGAUGAUAGAAAUAUUUUAAUUCCUAAAAGAAGAAUCCAAAAGAAAUCAGAAUCAAACAAUAUUGAACAAUCAUUUUUAUCAUUGUCUGCUAUAAUUGCAGAUAAAAGACAAAAUUCAAAUAUGCAAACAAUUCCAAAUAAAGGUAAAAAAGAUGCAGAAGAUAAAUUUGCAGAACUAAUACUUAUAGAGAUAAGAAACAUAUCAGAAAAAGAAUGUAAGGAAAA